GGAUCCAGACUUUGAUUCUGGCUCAGGAUGAACGCUAGCUACAGGCUUAACACAUGCAAGUCGAGGGGAAACGACAUCGAAAGCUUGCUUUUGAUGGGCGUCGACCGGCGCACGGGUGAGUAACGCGUAUCCAACCUGCCCACCACUUGGGGAUAACCUUGCGAAAGUAAGACUAAUACCCAAUGAUAUCUCUAGAAGGCAUCAGAAAGAGAUUAAAGAUUUAUCGGUGAUGGAUGGGGAUGCGUCUGAUUAGCUUGUUGGCGGGGUAACGGCCCACCAAGGCUACGAUCAGUAGGGGUUCUGAGAGGAAGGUCCCCCACAUUGGAACUGAGACACGGUCCAAACUCCUACGGGAGGCAGCAGUGAGGAAUAUUGGUCAAUGGACGAGAGUCUGAACCAGCCAAGUAGCGUGCAGGAUGACGGCCCUAUGGGUUGUAAACUGCUUUUAUAAGGGAAUAAAGUGAGUCUCGUGAGACUUUUUGCAUGUACCUUAUGAAUAAGGACCGGCUAAUUCCGUGCCAGCAGCCGCGGUAAUACGGAAGGUCCGGGCGUUAUCCGGAUUUAUUGGGUUUAAAGGGAGCGUAGGCCGGAGAUUAAGCGUGUUGUGAAAUGUAGACGCUCAACGUCUGCACUGCAGCGCGAACUGGUUUCCUUGAGUACGCACAAAGUGGGCGGAAUUCGUGGUGUAGCGGUGAAAUGCUUAGAUAUCACGAAGAACUCCGAUUGCGAAGGCAGCUCACUGGAGCGCAACUGACGCUGAAGCUCGAAAGUGCGGGUAUCGAACAGGAUUAGAUACCCUGGUAGUCCGCACGGUAAACGAUGGAUGCCCGCUGUUGGUCUGAAUAGGUC
rnacentral:rRNA from 1 species